rnacentral:misc_RNA from 1 species
GUGAUCAUCGAAUUUUUGAACGCAAAUUGCGCUUCCUGGCAUCCCGGGAAGUAUGCCUGUUUGAGGGUCAGUAUUAACAAAAAAUCGGUUUGGUUGCAAAUUGUGACGUUUCCGGAGUUUGGGCUAUCUUAACUUUUUUGGUUAAGGGGCUUAAAAUUGACCUUAUUUGCGCAUUUUUAGACGUACAUAAAUUUUUUUUUUUUCCUUUUUUUCUUAUUCCAAAAUCCUAUUAGAUUCCAUU